rnacentral:rRNA from 1 species
GCGGAGGAAAAGAAACCAACAGGGAUUGCCCUAGUAACGGCGAGUGAAGCGGCAACAGCUCAAAUUUGAAAUCUGGCUUCGGCCCGAGUUGUAAUUUGCAGAGGAAGCUUUAGGCGCGGCACCUCCUGAGUCCCCUGGAACGGGGCGCCACAGAGGGUGAGAGCCCCGUAUAGUUGGAUGCCUAGCCUGUGUAAAGCUCCUUCGACGAGUCGAGUAGUUUGGGAAUGCUGCUCAAAAUGGGAGGUAAAUUUCUUCUAAAGCUAAAUACCGGCCAGAGACCGAUAGCGCACAAGUAGAGUGAUCGAAAGAUGAAAAGCACUUUGAAAAGAGGGUUAAAUAGCACGUGAAAUUGUUGAAAGGGAAGCGCUUGUGACCAGACUUGCGCCGGGCUGAUCAUCCGGUGUUCUCACCGGUGCACUCUGCCCGGCUCAGGCCAGCAUCGGUUCUCGCGGGGGGAUAAAGGCCCUGGGAACGUAGCUCCUCCGGGAGUGUUAUAGCCCGGGGCGUAAUGCCCUCGCGGGGACCGAGGUUCGCGCUCUGCAAGGAUGCUGGCGUAAUGGUCAUCAGCGACCCGUCUUGAAACACGGACCAAGGAGUCAAGGUUUUGCGCGAGUGUUUGGGUGUAAAACCCGCACGCGUAAUGAAAGUGAACGUAGGUGAGAGCUUCGGCGCAUCAUCGACCGAUCCUGAUGUUCUCGGAUGGAUUUGAGUAGGAGCGUUAAGCCUUGGACCCGAAAGAUGGUGAACUAUGCUUGGAUAGGGUGAAGCCAGAGGAAACUCUGGUGGAGGCUCGCAGCGGUUCUGACGUGCAAAUCGAUCGUCAAAUCUGAGCAUGGGGCGAAGACUAUCGACCUCUAUACUGGU